CGAGUCAUUGGGCGACUAAACCCAAAGGCGCAAUGAAAGUGAAGGUUCCCUUCGGAACUCUAGGGAGGAUCCGUUUUAGGACGGACGAGGGGGUCAAACUCCUUGUCCGCCCCGGCGCACUCCCGGGGCGUCCCGACCGCUAUUUGCCGGUGGGGCGCACCUAGAGCGUACACGUUGGGACCCGAAAGAUGGUGAACUAUGCCUGGCCAGGACGAAGCCAGAGGAAACUCUGGUGGAGGUCCGUAGCGAUUCUGACGUGCAAAUCGAUCGUCGGAGCUGGGUAUAGGGGCGAAAGACUAAUCGAACCAUCUAGUAGCUGGUUCCCUCCGAAGUUUCCCUCAGGAUAGCUGGUGCUCGGAGAGUUGGACGACUUUAUCAGUCUCAUCCGGUAAAGCGAAUGAUUAGAGGCCUUGGGGCCGAAAUGACCUCAACCUAUUCUCAAACUUUAAAUGGGUGAGAAGUCGGGCUUGCUUGACACAACCCUCACGGGUUUGAAGCUUGACACAGGAUGUAAGAGCACCCAGUGGGCCACUUUUGGUAAGCAGAACUGGCGCUGUGGGAUGAACCAAACGCCGGGUUACGGCGCCCGAUACGACGCUCAUUAGACCCCAUGAAAGGUGUUGGUUGCUUUAGACAGCAGGGACGGUGGCCAUGGAAGUCGGAAUCCGCUAAGGAGUGUGUACUAACUCACCUGCGA
rnacentral:rRNA from 1 species